CCCUUAGAUGUUCUGGGCGGCCCGCGCACUACAAUGGCGCUUUCAGCGAGUUCCUAUGUUGAAUUUUCCUUGGUAUUCUUGGAAGCGGCGUCUUGACUUGGGAUAGAUCCUUGUAAUUGUUGGUUUUGAACGAGGAAUUCCUUGUAAUCGCGGUUGAUCAGCUCGCGUUGAUUACGUCCCUGCCCUUUGUACACACCGCCCGUCGCUCCUACCGAUUGAAUGUUCCGGUGAGCUCUUCGGACUGCGCGGUCUGCAGUUUCUGCGUUCCGUGCGGAAAGUUGCGCAAACCUUAACAUUUAGAGGAAGGAGAAGUCGUAACA
rnacentral:rRNA from 1 species